UACGUAGGGUGCAAGCGUUAAUCGGAAUUACUGGGCGUAAAGCGUGCGCAGGCGGUUAUAUAAGACAGAUGUGAAAUCCCCGGGCUCAACCUGGGAACUGCAUUUGUGACUGUAUAGCUAGAGUACGGUAGAGGGGGAUGGAAUUCCGCGUGUAGCAGUGAAAUGCGUAGAUAUGCGGAGGAACACCGAUGGCGAAGGCAAUCCCCUGGACCUGUACUGACGCUCAUGCAAGAAAGCGUGGGGAGCAAUCAGG
rnacentral:rRNA from 1 species